rnacentral:rRNA from 1 species
GACGAACGCUGGCGGCGUGCUUAACACAUGCAAGUCGAACGAAGUGGCGAACGGGUGAGUAACGCGUAAUCAACCUGCCCUUCAGAGGGGGACCACAGUUGACAAAGACUGCUAAUACCGCAUAUUGAUGGAGGGGAUUGCGUCUGAUUGGGUAGUUGGAGGGGUAACGGCCCACCAAGGGGAUGAUCAGUAGGCGGGCUGAGAGGAUGAACGGCCAAAUUGGGACUGAGACACGGCCCAGACUCCUAAGGGAGGCAGCAGUGGGGAAUCUUCCGCAAUGGACGAAAGUCUGACGGAGCAACGCCGCGUGAGUGAGGACGGCCUUCGGGUUGUAAAGCUCUGUUAAUCGGGACGCGGUACCGGAAUAGAAAGCCACGGCUAACUACGUGCCAGCAGCCGCGGUAAUAC